rnacentral:rRNA from 1 species
ACUGCUCAGUAACACGUAGUCAACCUAACCUAUGGACGAGAAUAACCUCGGGAAACUGAGAAUAAUGCUCGAUAGAACACUAUACCUGGAAUGGUUUGUGUUCCAAAUGAUUUAUCGCCGUAGGAUGGGACUGCGGCCUAUCAGUUUGUUGGUGAGGUAAUGGCCCACCAAGACUAUUACAGGUACGGGCUCUGAGAGGAGUAGCCCGGAGAUGGGUACUGAGACACGGACCCAGGCCCUAUGGGGCGCAGCAGGCGAGAAAACUUUGCAAUGUGCGAAAGCACGACAAGGUUAAUCCGAGUGAUUUGUGCUAAACGAAUCUUUUGUUAGUCCUAGAAACACUAACGAAUAAGGGGUGGGCAAGUUCUGGUGUCAGCCGCCGCGGUAAAACCAGCACCUCAAGUGGUCAGGAUGAUUAUUGGGCCUAAAGCAUCCGUAGCCGGCUCUGUAAGUCUUCGGUUAAAUCUGUACGCUUAACGUACAGGCUGCCGGGAAUACUGCAGAGCUAGGGAGUGGGAGAGGUAGACGGUACUCGGUAGGAAGGGGUAAAAUCCUUUGAUCUAUUGAUGACCACCUGUGGCGAAGGCGGUCUACCAGAACACGUCCGACGGUGAGGGAUGAAAGCUGGGGGAGCAAACCGGAUUAGAUACCCGGGUAGUCCCAGCUGUAAACUAUGCAAACUCAGUGAUGUAUUGACUUGUGGGUCAUGCAGUGCUGCAGGGAAGCCGUUAAGUUUGCCGCCUGGGAAGUACGUACGCAAGUAUGAAACUUAAAGGAAUUGGCGGGGGAGCACCACAAGGGGUGAAGCCUGCGGUUCAUUGGAUUCAACGCCCGAAAUCAC